rnacentral:rRNA from 1 species
UUGGAGGGCAAGUCUGGUGCCAGCAGCCGCGGUAAUUCCAGCUCCAAUAGCGUAUAUUAAAGUUGUUGCAGUUAAAAAGCUCGUAGUUGAAUUUCGGGGUUAGUAAGUUGGUCAUGCCAUUGGUAUGCACUGGCUUUACUGAUUCCUCCUUCUUGACGAACCGUGAUGUCAUUAAUUUGGUGUUGCGGGAAGUCAGGACUGUUACUUUGAAAAAAUUAGAGUGUUUAAAGCAGGCUAACGCUUGAAUACAUUAGCAUGGAAUAAUGAAAUAGGACGUUAAUCCUAUUUUGUUGGUUUCUAGGAUCGACGUAAUGAUUAAUAGGGAUAGUUGGGGGCAUUAGUAUUCAAUUGUCAGAGGUGAAAUUCUUGGAUUUAUUGAAGACUAACUACUGCGAAAGCAUUUGCCAAGGAUGUUUUCAUUAAUCAAGAACGAAAGUUAGGGGAUCGAAGACGAUCAGAUACCGUCGUAGUCUUAACCAUAAACUAUGCCGACUAGGGAUCGGAUGAUGUUAAUUCUUUAAUGACUCAUUCGGCGCCUUACGGGAAAC